ensembl:lincRNA
GAUUGGUGGCCUGAGAGAAUUCCUCCAGCCUGGCACUGAUCUCAAAUUCCUAACUGCCAUCUGGGGCCAAAAUUUAAGUUAAUGCAGAUCCUCAGAUGCACGAGGUAUCCUGGAAACCCUGCAAGCCCUAGACAAAUUUGGGAAUGGGACAAGGGCCGGCAUCGGCGCGACGGAAUGGUCUACGAAAGGAAUGGUCUCGAUUUGCGUUGUCGCGGAAAACCCGAAAAGAGGUCACUACCGCGAGUGAUUUUUUUGUAACCCUAUCAACCUUUGCAAAGUAAGUUUAUUCAAAGGAAAAUCAGCAUACGUACUCCCUCGGCUCUCUUUUUUCUUCUCCAAUUAGAAUUAGCCAGAUCUUUGAAGGUUUUAGUAACUAAUUUUUGUUUGUUUGUUAGGAGAUCUUAGUACAGGAAGUAGCUUAAUGUCUGCUUCCUUUCCUCACUCUUGUCAUCAGUGCCUCAAAGAAGCCUCCCGGAAGUCUCUCCUAAAACCACUUUUAUAUUUCUUUUACUUUAGCCCUAAUGUGAUCCCUAGUUACAGCAUAGACAGGAGAAACACCUCCCACCACAAAUCCGAUCCUGUUACUGAGGAAGGCGGGGAGAGUGGACAUUAGGACGCUUAAGGAAAGGUUUCAUGCCAUGCUCUCAAGUCACCAGGAAAUGUGUGCUUCAAAAAGACAGCUUUGUCCAGUGACCUUGACCAAAUAGCCUUGUGUUUUCUGGAGUACUGCUAUUUAAGCUUGUUUCUAUGUAAAUUUUCUCAUUAGUAGAUAUUGAGUUGUAAAAGUAUGUUUAUUUAAGCUAUGCUCGGUUGUUGGAAUGUUUUUACUACCACACCAAGCACUGCAGUGAGUAUCCAUAAAGCUAAAUUACUUACUUAGGCUAAACCACGGAGGUAGGACUUUAUGUAUAUUUAAAUUUUUUUUAGAGACUAGAGUCUAGAAAUACUGUGUUAGAUGCAAUCACACCAUUGCAGGUAGCCAAUCUGAAGGCAAUUUUAUUACAGUAAAACAAAAGGGGAUGUUUAUCGUGAAACAAAAACAUAAGAAGUUGCAGGUAAAGUAACAUUAAAUACAUAGGAAUGAUUUUGUUCCCACUCAACUCCCAUUGAACCUACAGUAAAGAGAUAUAAGAUAUAAGUAAGAGCCAACGAGAUGGCUAAAGGCACUUGCUACCAGGCCUGACAACCUAACUGGGAUCUUCUGGAACCACAUGGUAAAAGGAGAAUACAGUUGUCUUCAGACCUCUGCAAGCAUGGGCCAUAGUAAAUAUAUGCAAAUAUAUGUGCACGCACAUAGUAAUUGUAAUGAAAGAAAAGUAAACAUUUUCCACAGUGUAAAGAAGAGAGGAAGCAAAAAAGAAAAAAAUAAAGUAAUGCUUUGGAAGAUGCAAAUCAGAUAAGAACAAUUCACCAAUCCAGACACGAGAGCCAGCAAAUCAGAAAUAAAGGAACGGGAAGCCAGCCUAGCUUAUCCUGAGGAACUCUCUAAACAAACAGGAGCGGAGAUUUAACUCAAGUCUUUACCAUUUUCUGCUUGGAUAUACUACAGCCACUGAAAUAUGUGUCUAACACAGGACCUCUCCUGUGUACUCUGCACACAGUGACCCUCUCUGCAGGACUUGUCCUGUGUACUCUGCACAGUGACCCUCUCAGCAGGACCUCUCCUGUGUAUUCUGCACACAGUGACCCUCUCUGCAGGAUCUGUCCUGUGUAUUCUGCACACACAGUGACCCUUACUGCAGGACCUCUGCUGUGUAUUCUGCACACACGGUGACUCUCUCCUCCACCACCAAUGACUUUUCUAUAGCAAAAAUCUAAUUUCACUGGUAAAAGUCCAUAUGCCCUGUUUUUCUUGUUCUUUUUAAAAUAAAAUUUUAGGUAAAUUUACAAAGUAAUGAGUGUUGUUUUAUACAAGUAUAUCAAUGGUUUUUUGCUUUUGCUCAUCCUUGGUCCUUCCUCUCUUCCUUCUACUCCUCUUUCUUCCCAAAAAUACAAUAUAGGUUUAUUCUCUCUCUCUCUCUCUUCCCCUCUUGGGGGGGGGGCAAUCCUUGCCUUCCACUUUGUUAGAGACAGGAUGAUAUCUCUUUAAAACAAAGACCCUGAGGUCUCAUUUGACACGCCCACUCCUACACGUCUUGACUGAUAGUGCUUGAAUGUGAAAUGGCUCCAGGAGGCAAUAUUUGAACAUUUGGUUCCCAGAUGUGUGGCUGUUUGGAGAAUCUGGGGGAUCUUCAGGAGGUGAGACCCAGAUGAAGAUGGUAGGUGCCUGGGGGGAGAGCCUUAGGGGGUUGUCACUUGACCCUGCUUCCGCGGCAUCCUGAUCUGCUAUGAUUGUGAGGAGCCUGGGCUACAUGCUCAGGGACACACCUUCCUUGCUAUGACACACUCUAGUCUGAAAUCCCGGAGUCAAAGAAACUUUGCCUCCCUUACACUGUUGGCAGGUGGUCUGUCCAGCAGCUGAGAAAAGAGAUUAAUACACCCACUCAUGUCUAAUUAAGAAACAAAACGUGGAGGCUGGAGAGUCGGCACAGCAGCUGAGAGUGUUCUGCUAUCCCAGAAGACCAGCAUCAGUUCCCAGCUCCCAACCCAGUGGCCCAGGAUCACCUGUAACUCCAGCUCAGGCAUCUGCUUCUGGUUUCUGAGGGCGCACGCCCUCACGGGUACAUUUGCAAAUCCCCACACAGAUAGAUAGAUAGAUAGAUAGAUAGAUAGAUAGAUAGAUAGAUAGAUAGAUUAGAGAUAUAAAAUUUUAAAAUAAAAAUAAAUCUUUUAAAAG